CCCUUAGAUGUUCUGGGCCGCACGCGUGCUACACUGAACGGUUCAAUGGGUAAGGUAGUGCGAAAGCAUGACCUAAUCUCGAAAUCCGUUCGUGCUGGGGAUAGAAGCUUGCAAUUAUCCUUCUUGAACGAGGAAUACCUUGUAAGCGUGAGUCAUCAUCUCACGCUGAAUACGUCCCUGCCCUUUGUACACACCGCCCGUCGCUCCUACCGAUUGAGUGUUCCGGUGAGGCUUUGGGAGAAUGGCCUCAACAUGAGUUUAUCGUGUUUUGCCGUUUGAACUUAGUCAAACCUUAUCACUUAGAGGAAGGAGAAGUCGUAACA
rnacentral:rRNA from 1 species